rnacentral:rRNA from 1 species
AUACGGAGGAUCCGAGCGUUAUCCGGAUUUAUUGGGUUUACAGGGUGCGCAGGCGGCCAUUUAAGUCAGCGGUUAAAUCGUGGGGCUCAACCCCAUUCUGCCGUUGAUACUGGGUGGCUUGAUUGCGGUCGAGGUUGGCGGAAUUCGUUGUGUAGCGGUGAAAUGCAUAGAUAUGACGAAGAACACCGAUUGCGUAGGCAGCUGACCAGACCGCAAAUGACGCUCAUGCACGAAAGUGCGGGGAUCGAACAGGAUUAGAUACCCUGGUAGUCCGCACAGUAAACGAUGAAUACUUGUUUUCGGCGAUAUAAUGUCGGAGGCAAAGCGAAAGCGAUAAGUAUUCCACCUGGGGAGUACGCCGGCAACGGUGAAACUCAAAUGAAUUGACGGGG